UCUUGUUUUCCAGUCAGUCGACCUUAUCAUUUUGUGCACCAGAAGAGGCAGUUCAGGAAAACGAGACCUAUCUCAAG